GGUGUUUGCGAUACUCCACCAGCACCUUGUAAAAUUCGAAGACAACAAUUGAGUCCACCGAGAAGGAAACACAAAAGCAGUAGACUGCAACAUUCGCUCAUUACAUUUGAAUAUGGGCCACCAGAACUCAACCUUUACAAAUAUCUUGCUGAACAAUCGUUUGCUUUGUGGAAAAAAACAAGAGGGAUAUUCGCCUUAAGGAAAGACAGUCAACCAUUAGAUGGACUGAUACUAAUACAUGGCGACUCAGAAAAUGCGCAAGGUUUAUCCAUUGAGCUUUUUGAUUUUGAUCCUGAAACUACAACAUUCAACACAGUGGAUACACACCAUCUGAAGGAAAAGGACCAUGUUGUUGUUUGUUAUCUUGGGGUAUCAUUUUGGGAG